rnacentral:rRNA from 1 species
GACGAACGCUGGCGGCGUGCUUAACACAUGCAAGUCGAACGGAAAGGCCCUGCUUUUGUGGGGUGCUCGAGUGGCGAACGGGUGAGUAACACGUGAGUAACCUGCCCUUGACUUUGGGAUAACUUCAGGAAACUGGGGCUAAUACCGGAUAGGAGCUCCUGCUGCAUGGUGGGGGUUGGAAAGUUUCGGCGGUUGGGGAUGGACUCGCGGCUUAUCAGCUUGUUGGUGGGGUAGUGGCUUACCAAGGCUUUGACGGGUGGCCGGCCUGAGAGGGUGACCGGCCACAAUGGGACUGAGAUACGGCCCAGACUCCUACGGGAGGCAGCAGUGGGGAAUAUUGCACAAUGGGCGGAAGCCUGAUGCAGCAACGCCGCGUGCGGGAUGACGGCCUUCGGGUUGUAAACCGCUUUCGCCUGUGACGAAGCGUGAGUGACGGUAAUGGGUAAAGAAGCACCGGCUAACUACGUG